GUGCAGCAGGUGCGAAUACUUCGCAAUGCGCGAAAGCGCGACGAGGGGAUUCCAAGUGCAUGGCACUAAGUGUAUGCUUUUCGUGAGUUUAAAACGGCUCACGGAAUAAGGGCUGGGUAAGACUGGUGCCAGGCCGCCGCCGGGUAAAUACCAGCGGCCCUAGUGGUGAUCGUUAUUAUUGGGCCUAAAGCGUCCGUAGCCGGUCCGGUAAAUCUCUGGGUAAAUCGUUGGGCUUAACUC
rnacentral:rRNA from 1 species